CCCGUGCUACAACCGCUCUGGAAAGGUUUAUAAGAAUCUGUUGGAUCACCUUUCAUAUCAGGCGAGUCUGAGUCUAAGA
rfam:Lysinibacillus massiliensis 4400831 = CIP 108448 = CCTG 49529 contig21, whole genome shotgun sequence.